rnacentral:rRNA from 1 species
GGAUAACUAUUGGAAACGAUAGCUAAUACCGCAUAAUAGCAGUUGUUGCAUGAUAACUGUUUGAAAGGUGCAAUUGCACCACUACCAGAUGGACCUGCGUUGUAUUAGCUAGUUGGUGGGGUAACGGCUCACCAAGGCGACGAUACAUAGCCGACCUGAGAGGGUGAUCGGCCACACUGGGACUGAGACACGGCCCAG